rnacentral:rRNA from 1 species
GACGAACGCCGGCGGCGUGCUUAACACAUGCAAGUCGAACGAUGAAGCUGGAGCUUGCUCCGGUGGAUUAGUGGCGAACGGGUGAGUAACACGUGAGCAAUCUGCCCUUGACUCUGGGAUAACUGCGGGAAACUGUAGCUAAUACCGGAUACGAGGCUCGAAGGCAUCUUCGGGUCUGGAAAGAAUUUCAGUCAAGGAUGAGCUCGCGGCCUAUCAGCUUGUUGGUGAGGUAAUGGCUCACCAAGGCGACGACGGGUAGCCGGCCUGAGAGGGUGACCGGCCACACUGGGACUGAGACACGGCCCAGACUCCUACGGGAGGCAGCAGUGGGGAAUAUUGCACAAUGGGCGAAAGCCUGAUGCAGCAACGCCGCGUGAGGGAUGAAGGCCUUCGGGUUGUAAACCUCUUUUAGCAGGGAAGAAGCGAAAGUGACGGUACCUGCAGAAAAAGCACCGGCUAACUACGUGCCAGCCGCCGCGGUAA